rnacentral:lncRNA from 1 species
UGGAAUGGAAAUUUUUCUUAUGAAUAUUUCUUAAUGUGCCAGUUAUGUGGUGUUUGGUCGGACGUGCGCAUUUGCAGCACCAUGGGGUACUCUUUGGCUGAAGUACAUAUUUUGUAUCUUCUUUGGACCUAAAUCAGACUGUUCAAGUGGUGUUUGCUCAGAACAUGCAGGUGGAGCACCAUGGGAUGCUCUUUGGCUGAGGUACACAUUUUAUAUCUUCUUUGGUUUGCCCGAAAGCAAGAUGUUGGAAGAAAAGAAAUAUGCAUCUUAUGAACUAACCGAACAAGGCCUUAGAAUUUUAAUAUCUUAGAUAUAAUAUUUGGGAAGGCGGUGUUUUUAUUUUAUGAAAAGAGUCUCAUUACUUCAGGAGACAAAUGAUAGAAUCGGCACUGUCAUAUAUUAUGGUGUGCUUUUACUCUACCUGGACUGUUUUUUAAGUGUAACU